UACGUAGGGUGCGAGCGUUGUCCGGAUUUAUUGGGCGUAAAGCGCGUGUAGGCGGCCAGGUAGGUCAGCUGUGAAAACUCGAGGCUCAACCUCGAGACGUCGGUUGAAACCGUAUGGCUAGAGUCCGGAAGAGGAGAGUGGAAUUCCCGGUGUAGCGGUGAAAUGCGCAGAUAUCGGGAAGAACACCUAUGGCGAAGGCAGCUCUCUGGGACGGUACUGACGCUGAGACGCGAAAGCGUGGGGAGCAAACAGG
rnacentral:rRNA from 1 species